rnacentral:miRNA from 1 species
AGGAGCUCACAAUCUAUUUAG